GUGAAUCAUCAAAUUUUUGAACGCAAAUUGCACUCUCUUCGGAGAGUAUGCCUGUUUGAGGGUCAGCCUAAAAAAAAAAAUCGACAUAGUCGCUGUUUCGCGGUGACAUUCGUUGGAAAUUUUGUCAUCUUAAACAUUUGGUUUUUAAUCGGCUUAAAAUUUUCUUUUGGUUUCCACGAACGUUUCUAAGUUUUUCUUCUUUUAAGUUUAAGGUAUCAAUCAUUAUUAGA
rnacentral:misc_RNA from 1 species